UACGUAGGGGGCAAGCGUUGUCCGGAAUUAUUGGGCGUAAAGAGCGUGUAGGCGGUCCGGUAAGUCCGCUGUGAAAGUCCAGGGCUCAACCCUGGAAUGCCGGUGGAUACUGCCGGGCUAGAGUCCGGAAGAGGCGAGUGGAAUUCCCGGUGUAGCGGUGAAAUGCGCAGAUAUCGGGAAGAACACCCGUGGCGAAGGCGGCUCUCUGGGACGGUACUGACGCUGAGACGCGAAAGCGUGGGGAGCGAACAGG
rnacentral:rRNA from 1 species